rnacentral:rRNA from 1 species
GACGAACGCUGGCGGCGUGCUUAACACAUGCAAGUCGAACGGUAAGGCCCUUCGGGGUACACGAGUGGCGAACGGGUGAGUAACACGUGGGUGAUCUGCCCUGCACUUCGGGAUAAGCCUGGGAAACUGGGGCUAAUACCGGAUAGGACUCCGGACUGCAUGGUCUGGGGUGGAAAGCUUUGGCGGUGUGGGAUGGGCCCGCGGCCUAUCAGCUUGUUGGUGGGGUGAUGGCCUACCAAGGCGACGACGGGUAGCCGGCCUGAGAGGGUGACCGGCCACACUGGGACUGAGAUACGGCCCAGACUCCUACGGGAGGCAGCAGUGGGGAAUAUUGCACAAUGGGCGCAAGCCUGAUGCAGCGACGCCGCGUGAGGGAUGACGGCCUUCGGGUUGUAAACCUCUUUCAGCAUCGACGAAGCGAAGGUGACGGUAGGUGCAGAAGAAGGACCGGCCAACUACGUGCCAGCCGCCGCGGUAA